CUUCCCGAUUCUUCCACUGUUCGCUCCAUCCUCCCUCGCCGUUCCACCUACUGACUUCUUCUUCUUCUUCUAAUCUGAUUUGUAUCAGAACCCAUUUCUCCCCACACUCAUCCAUCUUUUACCACCACCAUCAGCCUACUAUGCGUCUUCCGUUACUCACCGUCACACGACCGCCACCAUAAGCCAUCCGACCCCUACACCUCCUCUGUCAUCCGAUAUCCACCGCCUCUUUGCUAGCACCGCCACCAGACGUUAAUCAAAUACGAGUGUCCCCAAUUGACUGACCCCGCCUCUACGACCGUCUUCAUCGCCUCUGUGAAAUCUAGCCGAAGAAGCGUAAGGUUGUAGUAAGUACAUUAAUGGGUUUAUGUGUCUUCGCCACCUCUGAGAAAUCCCGCUCUUCAACUUCAUGCGUUUGAGUCGGUAGAACGCUAAAAGUGAUACCUCCAAAUAUCGUAGACACCUUCCGAUUAAGACAUUUCUUACAACUAGAUUUCAUUAAAGCAUGGGCACUAAAUUUCCAGUUAAGGAAGAUGAUCCUUUUCUGGUUCGAGAGUAACACACGAUGACACGAACAAGUUAUUUGUACAAGGUAAUGACAAUGACACAUAUACCCUUUCUUUUAACACCGAAAAACCAAGUAAUCAAUACCAAAACUUGAAAGCAUUUCAUAUGUUGUUUCGGGGAUGAAGAAUGAAGUA